rnacentral:rRNA from 1 species
GAUGAACGCUGGCGGCGUGCCUAAUACAUGCAAGUCGAGCGAACGGACGAGAAGCUUGCUUCUCUGAUGUUAGCGGCGGACGGGUGAGUAACACGUGGAUAACCUACCUAUAAGACUGGGAUAACUUCGGGAAACCGGAGCUAAUACCGGAUAAUAUUUUGAACCGCAUGGUUCAAAAGUGAAAGACGGUCUUGCUGUCACUUAUAGAUGGAUCCGCGCUGCAUUAGCUAGUUGGUAAGGUAACGGCUUACCAAGGCAACGAUGCAUAGCCGACCUGAGAGGGUGAUCGGCCACACUGGAACUGAGACACGGUCCAGACUCCUACGGGAGGCAGCAGUAGGGAAUCUUCCUCAAUGGGCGAAAGCCUGACGGAGCAACGCCGCGUGAGUGAUGAAGGUCUUCGGAUCGUAAAACUCUGUUAUCAGGGAAGAACAUAUGUGUAAGUAACUGUGCACAUCUUGACGGUACCUAAUCAGAAAGCCACGGCUAACUACGUG